UACGAAGGGGGCUAGCGUUGCUCGGAAUUACUGGGCGUAAAGGGCGCGUAGGCGGCGCGGAUAGUCGGCGGUGAAAGCCCGGAGCUCAACUCCGGGUCGGCCGUCGAUACUUCCGGGCUUGAGCACUGUAGAGGCAGAUGGAAUUCCGGGUGUAGCGGUGGAAUGCGUAGAGAUCCGGAAGAACACCGGUGGCGAAGGCGGUCUGCUGGGCAGUUGCUGACGCUGAUGCGCGAAGGCUAGGGGAGCGAACGGG
rnacentral:rRNA from 1 species